AUACGGAGGAUGCAAGCGUUAUCCGGAUUUAUUGGGUUUAAAGUGUGCGUAGGCGGAUGAUUAAGCGUGAGGUGAAAUGCCACUGCUCAACAGUGGAACUGCCUCGCGAACUGGUUGUCUUGAAUGCUCCUGCCGUGGGAGGAAUGUGUGGUGUAGCGGUGAAAUGCAUAGAGAUCACACAGAACACCGAUUGCGAAGGCAUCUCACGAAGGGGUGAUUGACGCUGAGGCACGAAAGCGUGGGGAUCAAACAGGAUUAGAUACCCUGGUAGUCCACGCAGUAAACGAUGAUAACUAACCGCUGGGUCGUAGUGAUUCAGUGGCCAAGCGAAAGCGAUAAGUUAUCCACCUGGGGAGUACGACCGCAAGGUUGAAACUUAAAGGAAUUGGCGGGG
rnacentral:rRNA from 1 species